rnacentral:rRNA from 1 species
UACGUAGGGUGCAAGCGUUGUCCGGAAUUAUUGGGCGUAAAGAGCCCGUAGGCGGUUUGUUGCGUCGGCUGUGAAAUCCCCGAGGCUCAACCUCGGGUCUGCAGUCGAUACGAGCAAACUAGAGUGUUGCAGGGGAGACUGGAAUUCCUGGUGUAGCGGUGAAAUGCGCAGAUAUCAGGAGGAACACCGGUGGCGAAGGCGGGGUCUCUGGGCCGUAACUGACGCUGAGGAGCGAAAGCAUGGGGUAGCGAACAGG